rnacentral:lncRNA from 1 species
GCACCUAACCUCCUUAAUACUCCUUAGGGAUGUCUGCCUCCUUGUUGCCUCGCAUCUAUCCUUUCCCCUCCUCGACCUUUUACCAACCACCUAGCAUCCUAGAAAACCUCCGUACUACUUCUCACCAUCUGUUCCCUCUGCUCAUUCAUCUGAAGAACAGACACUAUCUCUUCAUAGACUAGGAUCUCCUUUCUGUACAACAGAGCCGUCACCAAC